rnacentral:misc_RNA from 1 species
CAGGACUCGCAAGACUCCUACAACCCUGUGAACUUAACUAUAAGCACGUUGCUUCGGCGGGUGUCUCGGCGAGGGUCCUCUCUCCCCGGGGCGCUAAGCCCGCCGGCAGCCUACUAUACUCUGUCUCUUUGCGUUGGCAUCUCGAGUACAAUCAAACAAGUUA